rnacentral:rRNA from 1 species
ACGAACGCUGGCGGCGUGCCUAAUCCAUGCCCGUUGAGCGAUGAAGAUUGGUGCUUGCACCAAUUUGAAGAGCAGCGAACGGGUGAGUAACGCGUGGGGAAUCUGCCUUUGAGCGGGGGACAACAUUUGGAAACGAAUGCUAAUACCGCAUAACAACUUUAAACAUAAGUUUUAAGUUUGAAAGAUGCAAUUGCAUCACUCAAAGAUGAUCCCGCGUUGUAUUAGCUAGUUGGUGAGGUAAAGGCUCACCAAGGCGAUGAUACAUAGCCGACCUGAGAGGGUGAUCGGCCACAUUGGGACUGAGACACGGCCCAAACUCCUACGGGAGGCAGCAGUAGGGAAUCUUCGGCAAUGGACGAAAGUCUGACCGAGCAACGCCGCGUGAGUGAAGAAGGUUUUCGGAUCGUAAAACUCUGUUGGUAGAGAAGAACGUUGGUGAGAGUGGAAAGCUCAUCAAGUGACGGUAACUACCCAGAAAGGGACGGCUAACUACGUG